GUAAUGUUUACUACUUUCUGUCUUGUAUUACGUUUGUUUAUACACACAUCUUUUUUUUCCACCAGAUUUAAGAAGUUUGAAAGAGGGUUCCAUGUUCUAUUCAUCAUCUAAUUUCCCACAGUGCUCACAAAACAACUUCAUGAAAAGAGCUGGAGUAAUGCAUAUAGCUUCAAGGAUGAAGACCACAGUCCCCAGCCUCCUUAUAACCAACCUGUCUGUUCAAAUCCAUUCUCUUCAAGAAAAUAAGAACAAUAUUUAUGUGUGCAGCUUCCAGCCCAUCAUCCAGUUCCCUGUCUUCUGAAAGGUGUACCCUGAUUUUGCUCUGAGGAAUCAUCCCUGUCCUGCCUUUCAGCCCAUGUUUUUCUGGUAAGGCUUCACAUUUGCUCCUCAGUUGAGUGUGGGAAUAAAGUCUGAUCAAUCUGAGCA
rnacentral:lncRNA from 13 species